AAGUGAAGGAAGGAAGGGACAGAUGAGUCCUGCAUCUUUCACGUGGCCAGGGCUGGCCAGGGCUGGCCGGGGCUCAGCUCCAUGCUGUAGGCGCUCAGAACCCAGGGGGCUGCCACACCCGAAUCACACCGCCUUGCGCCUCUGGGAGUGGGUCUCCAUCAACAGCGUGAGAAAUGCCUGUGCUCCACGCUCAGAUCCUCUCCGGGGCCAGUUCUCCACCUGCGCCCCACAGCGCCCUCGCCCUGGAGCGCACACUCCUCAAAGCCCCACGCUGGGCUCCAUUCUCCGUAAACGCACAGGCGCGCGUGGGGCUCACAAGGCACAGGCACGGCCGCCUCCCUCCCACGUGCCAUGAAUAAGCGCGCCCGCGCUUCCUCAGCCCUCCCCCGCCACCACUUCGCACAGACCACACACCGUGGACCACCCCUCGCCCGGCACAUCCUUCUUGGAGCAACAGGUGGUUCUGCGCCCCUCAAGUAGUCCGGACUCUUGCACACCCGAAAGUGCCCGUCCCGGGCAGACCCCUCCGGUGCCUGCUGGGGCGCCUGUCCCCACCCCCCCAGGCUCACAGGAGAGGCUGUGCUCUCAGCGUCCGCGGGCCGCGCAGCGAAGGGCAGGGCAGAAGAAGGGGCAGGCUGGGCGCCGUCCACCUGGCAGCAGGCCAGCCAGAAGAUGCAAAGCUCAUGGUGACCUUGGCAGGUGGACAGGUGGCAUCAGGAUGGUCUGGGCCUGCAGGGCCACCCUGUCCCUUCAGGUGGCUUCAUGGAGAGCACCAAGAAGGUGAAGCCUGGUGUCUUGCUCCUGGGGAAGCCUUCCAGGCACCUGCCCCUGCCUUCCUCAGCCCUGUACCAUGGCCCUGCAGAACAUCUCAGCCCUGGGGUGACCCCAGUGUUGUCUCAGGAAGUCUGUGUGACCAGUUGGCCCUGCUGCCGCCUGACUCCAGAGAGAGCAUCAUCCCCUCUGCCUCCCUGAAUGUGACACUCUAGAGGAGGUAGUGGAUGGGUGGGCAGUCCCACAAGCCUUCUUAUGCAGUCACAAGGUCACUUCCCAUUGUGCUCAUCCCAGAUUGCACCAGUGUCACCCAAGGACCUUGAUAAGGCAGACAUUUCCCCAGGAGGAAUGGGGCCCUUGCCCCCGUCUCUGGCUGACACAGAUGGUGCUAUCUCCUCUACCCACCAGUGUGACCUCAGCAUUCAUGUGUGACCUGACCCACAUCCUUCCUGGUGCCUGAGGAUGCGAGGAGGCUGCUGUGCUGGGGCUGAGCCCUGCCAGGCGUCCUGCUUAUAUCCCUGCAGCUGGGACUGAGGCUGUCCUGCAGGGAGGGCCGGUGGGGCCCGAGGCAGAAUCCCACUGCCACUUCAGAAAGCAGAGAAAAAGCCAGGUGUGGUGGGGCCAGUGGCCAUCUGCUGGGGCUUCAGGGAGACCAGACACACAGGAAGAGGCACUUUCUCCAGAUGCCUCCUCUAGGGGCAGGGCACAAGGCCUGGAACAGGGCUGCCUCUGACCAGAGCAACAGAUGCUGCUCUGAGGAUGGCGAAGCCUAGAGCAGGCAAGAUAUCAAGGUUCUGAGUUGAGGGUCUCAGGACAGGAGGCUGGACUCCCAUUGAUACGAUUUGGGUGUGUGUCCCCACCCAAAUCUCAUGUUCAGUUGUAAUCUCCAGUGUUGGAGGUGGGGCCUGGUGGGAGGCGAUUGGAUCAUGGGGGCGGAGUUCUCAUGAAUGGGUUAGCACCAUCCCCUCAGCUCAGCACUGUUCUCCUGUUAGUGAGUGAGUUCUGAAGGGAUCCGACUGUUUGAAAUCGUGGGGCACCUCCCCCUUCUCUCACUUGCUCCUGCCAUGUCAGACCUGCCUGCUCCCACUCUGUCUUCCACCAUGAGUGAAAGCUCCCUGAAGCCUUCCCAGAAGCAAAUGCUGCCACGAUUCCUAUACAGUUUGCAGAGCCGUGAUCCAAUUAAAGCUCUUUUCUUUAUAAAUUA